rnacentral:rRNA from 1 species
CACGUAGGCGGCGUAUCAAGUCAGAGGUGAAAGGCCUGGGCUCAACCUAGGAACGGCCUUUGAUACUGGUAUGCUUGAGUUCGGAAGAGGGUAGUGGAAUUCCAAGUGUAGAGGUGAAAUUCGUAGAUAUUUGGAAGAACACCGGUGGCGAAGGCGGCUACCUGGUCCGAUACUGACGCUGAGGUGCGAAAGCGUGGGGAGCGAACA